GAGAGCUCUGCACAGAGAUUGGGGGUUGUUUAGUUUAAGCACUUUUUUGGAAAUUUUUCUCUGAAAACUUGCAUGUGCUCAGUGAUUUUGCAUAUAAAUUUUCAGGUUGAAAGUCCGAAACAACAACCAGAGUGGUCGACAUUUGAUUGGAACCACCAGGUUUAAGAAGAAUUCUGGGAUUCGAACCAAUAGAGUUGGAUCACAAUCUCCUCAGAUGCAUGAGAAGCUAAAUCAUCCGCUAUCCAAAUGACAAGGUUUUUCAUGAAUUCACUAAGUCAAAAUAUUGAAACUGACCGAUCGCCACGAGAAGCUUAAUCAUGUAGUAUGCAAAAAAUACUUAUGUUGACUACUUGAAG